AUCUUCAGUGCCUGUGAUCUCUCUGAUUGCUUCAGAAGCGAGACUAGAGUCACACCCUGAUGCUGCUCGUGGUCCUGGUGUGCUAUAGUCCUCGCAGAGUAACUCUCUGCUUAUUCAUUGGCUGCUGCUUUCUGUUGCCCAGCCAAUCACCAGCUCAGAAACAAACCCCUGUUUAUCAGACUGUUGUGUGUGUGACUUGCUCAGCAGUGGUUGAAGUGUAAUGUGUGGUUGUCUCUCGAAGCCCCUGCAGAUGCUGGUGGAUGAGGUCAUUAAUGACGUAUCGGUCAGGAGGAGCGUCCACCGGCUCAACAGUGCUGUCAGCCCCCUGCAGAUGCUGGUGGAUGAGGUCAUUAAUGGCGUAUCGGUCAGGAGGAGCGUCCACCGGCUCAACAGUGCUGUCAGCUGAUGUAAUCCUGAAUGAGAAGAGCACCAGCUGCUUUCUCCACUCGGCUGCUCCAGACACACACUGAUAACAGCAGCUGAUGACCGCAGGAGAGUUCACACGCUGAAGCCCCUGCAGAUGCUGGUGGAUGAGGUCAUUAAUGGCGUAUCGGUCAGGAGGAGCGUCCACCGGCUCAACAGUGCUGUCAGCUGAUGUAAUCCUGAAUGAGAAGAGCACCAGCUGCUUUCUCCACUCGGCUGCUCCAGACACACACUGAUAACAGCAGCUGAUGACCGCAGGAGAGUUCACACGCUGAAGCCCCUGCAGAUGCUGGUGGAUGAGGUCAUUAAUGGCGUAUCGGUCAGGAGGAGCGUCCACCGGCUCAACAGUGCUGUCAGCGGAUCAUCAAACCACUGAAGAUGAGCUGGAAAGUGUGAAGCCAAACUGUUGAACAUCUGUUGUUUUAUAAACGUA